CUAGGUGGCUAAGCGAUCGCUGGCAAUUUAUUGCGAGAGGAAAGUCCGGGCUCCACAGAAACAAGGCGGCGGGUAACGCCCGCCCAAGUUAUAUGCACAUUGGUGUUUGGCUUGAGGGAAAGUGCCACAGAAAGUAAACCGCCGGAUGCUUUGGCUGAUGGUAAGGGUGAAAGGGUGCGGUAAGAGCGCACCGCGGUUUUGGCAACAAGACUGGCAAGGUAAACCCCGCUUGGAGCAAGACCGAAUAGGAACAGAAGGAGUUUAGUCUCCACAUGCGUUUCUGCGUGCUGUUCGGGUUGGUCGCAUGAGGUGAUCUGCAAAGAUCAUCCUAGAUGAAUGGUCGCUCACUCAUUCCAAAGAAAUUUGGGUUGGGGGACAGAACCCGGCUUAUAGGCCAUCUAGUCAG
rfam:Hirschia baltica ATCC 49814, complete genome.